rnacentral:rRNA from 1 species
UGGGGAAUUUUGGACAAUGGGGGAAACCCUGAUCCAGCCAUCCCGCGUGUGCGAUGAAGGCCUUCGGGUUGUAAAGCACUUUUGUCAGGAAAGAAACGUCAUGGGUUAAUACCCCGUGAAACUGACGGUACCUGCAGAAUAAGCACCGGCUAACUACGUGCCAGCAGCCGCGGUAAUACGUACGGUGCAAGCGUUAAUCGGAAUUACUGGGCGUAAAGCGUGCGCAGGCGGUUCGGAAAGAAAGAUGUGAAAUCCCAGAGCUCAACUUUGUAACUGAAUUUUUAACUACCGGUCGAGAGUGUGUCAGAGGGAGGUGGAAUUCGGCGUGUAGCAGUGAAAUGCGUAGAUAUGCUGAGGAACAACGAUGGCGAAGGCAGCCUCGUGGGAUAACACUGACGCUCAUGCAAGAAAGGGUGGGGUGGAAACAGG